rnacentral:rRNA from 1 species
AGUGAACGCUGGCGGUAGGCCUAACACAUGCAAGUCGAACGGCAGCACAGGAGAGCUUGCUCUCUGGGUGGCGAGUGGCGGACGGGUGAGGAAUACAUCGGAAUCUACUCUGUCGUGGGGGAUAACGUAGGGAAACUUAUGCUAAUACCGCAUACGACCUACGGGUGAAAGCAGGGGACCUUCGGGCCUUGCGCGAUGGAAUUAGCCGAUGUCGGAUUAGGUAGUUGGCGGGGUAAAGGCCCACCAAGGCGACGAUCCGUAGCUGGUCUGAGAGGAUGAUAGACCACACAGGGACUGAGACAAGGUCCAGACUCCUACGGGAGGCAGCAGUGGGGAAUAUUGGACAAUGGGCGCAAGCCUAAUCCAGCCAUACCGCGUGGGUGAAGAAGGCCUUCGGGUUGUAAAGCCCUUUUGUUAGGAAAGAAACCCGGCUGGCUAAUACCCGGUUUGGAUGACGGUACCCAAAGAAUAAGCACCGGCUAACUUCGUGCCAGCCGCCGCGGUAA